GGUGAGUAACGCGUGAGCAACCUGCCUAUGACAGUGGGAUAGCCUCGGGAAACCGGGAUUAAUACCGCAUAAAAUCGUAGAAACACAUGUUUUAACGGUCAAAGAUUUAUCGGUCAUAGAUGAGCCCGCGUAGGAUUAGCUUGUUGGUGAGGUAAAAGCUCACCAAGGCGACGAUCCUUAGCUGGUCUGAGAGGAUGAUCAGCCACACUGGGACUGAGACACGGCCCAG
rnacentral:rRNA from 1 species